rnacentral:rRNA from 1 species
GACGAACGCUGGAGGCGUGCUUAACACAUGCAAGUCGAACGAUGAAAUGGAGCUUGCUCCAUGGAUUAGUGGCGAACGGGUGAGUAACACGUGAAUAACCUGCCCUUAAUUUUGGAAUAACCCAGGGAAACCUGGGCUAAUACCGGAUAAGUAAACCUGUGGCAUAACAUGGUUUUGGAAAGUUUUUCGAUUAAGGAUGGAUUCGCGGCCUAUCAGCUUGUUGGUGAGGUAAUGGCUCACCAAGGCGACGACGGGUAGCCGGCCUGAGAGGGUGAACGGCCACACUGGGACUGAGACACGGCCCAGACUCCUACGGGAGGCAGCAGUGGGGAAUAUUGCGCAAUGGACGAAAGUCUGACGCAGCGACGCCUCGUGAGGGACGAAGGUCUUCGGAUUGUAAACCUCUUUCAGCAGGGACGAAGCGAAAGUGACGGUACCUGCAGAAGAAGCACCGGCUUACUAUGUGCCAGCCGCCGCGGUAA